AGGGUUCGAUUAUGGCUCAGGAUGAACGCUGGCGGCGUGCUUAACACAUGCAAGUCGAACGAAGCAUUUAAGACAGAUUACUUCGGUUUGAAGUCUUUUAUGACUGAGUGGCGGACGGGUGAGUAACGCGUGGGUAACCUGCCUUAUACAGGGGGAUAACAACCAGAAAUGGUUACUAAUACCGCAUAAGCGCACAGGACCGCAUGGUCCGGUGUGAAAAACUCCGGUGGUAUAAGAUGGACCCGCGUUGGAUUAGCUAGUUGGCAGGGUAACGGCCUACCAAGGCGACGAUCCAUAGCCGGCCUGAGAGGGUGAACGGCCACAUUGGGACUGAGACACGGCCCAG
rnacentral:rRNA from 1 species